UACCGAGGUCCCGAGCGUUGUUCGGAUUUAUUGGGCGUAAAGGGUGCGUAGGCGGCGGAGUAAGUUGGGUGUGAAAUCCCGGGGCUUAACCUCGGAAUGGCAUUCAAUACUGCUUCGCUUGAGUACUGGAGAGGAGGCUGGAAUUUACGGUGUAGCAGUGAAAUGCGUAGAUAUCGUAAGGAAGGCCGGUGGCGAAAGCGAGCCUCUGACAGUUACUGACGCUGAUGCACGAAGGCCAGGGGAGCAAACGGG
rnacentral:rRNA from 1 species